GGAGUUUCGAGAAAGAGUUUAAAUUGAAAAAUUGCCUUUGAUUGUGACUUCAUGUGCUACACAGAGAAAGCAACAAUGAAGAUUUGAUCAAUUUGUUAAUAAUCAAGAAAAUUUUAUUGAAGAUUAUUGAUCUCAGCCAAUUCAAUAUUUUGUCAACAAUAUUAGUAUAGGAUUUAAUGAAGUAAUGUCAGAGUAAUGUUCACCAUGACUUCAUUAGGAUUUCAGUCAUCUCAAACUGAUGGAAACAUUGUUGAUAUAGUAUCUAACAAAGGUAACCGGAGAUGCAAAGUUAAAGGCAGACAAGACAGCAGAAGAACGACAAGCAUAUAAUAGUGUGACUGAUAAGGCACCUGCUACAAUUAUAUUAACCGUUGAAGCAGACUAACAGAUACAUAUUGUUGAUUGUAAGACUGCUGAGGAAGCUGGGAUAAACCUUAAGCAGGUAUAUGAACCGAAAUUUAAACAGAGAAUAAUGCAACUAAAAGGGAAAUGAUAAGAAUACAGCUUAAAGAAGGUAAGUAAAUGACAUCAUACUUAUCUAGAAUGAAAAUAGCAGCUGAUUACUCACAAGAUGCUGGGUUAGAAAGGAAAGAUGAGGACAUUGCUUAUGUAAUGCUAUCAGGGUUGCCUGACUUAUAUGAUUCUCUAACCAUGUCGUUAGCUAAUUUAGAUAACAAGAAGUUCACUUCAACAGAAAGUAAGAAAUUUUUAUUGAUGAAAUAUGAAAGAAGAAUGUCCAAAGAUGAGGACAAAGAAUCCAAAGAAGAAGUUUCCGCUUUCCAAGUGUGCAAGACUGUAGGUCGUCGUUGUUUUAAAUAUAUACAGGAAAUGGAUUCAAAAAGAAAAGCUUAACACUUUCUGAGCUUAUUGCUACUUUAGAAGAUAUAGCCGUAAUAAAUACUUGGAGGUUGUACCAAAUAUCGCACCUUUAUGAAGAAAUUUCACUCCUUGACAUAAGACGCAAAAUAGUUCUUGAUUACGGAUGGAAUCAAGCCGUAAAAGACCAGGUUCACAAAAAUCAAAAGUUGUUAGAAGAAGAGUAUAUUUAGAAAAAGCUGAAUAAAACGAAUACAUACUUUUAUUUAUUUUUUUUUUUUUUUUAGUUUACUGCAGUACAUUUCACCAAAUGCCCCAAAAAUGGGACGGGCUGUAAUUUUUAUAUUUUAAUAAGAACAAAAAAAUAAUUGUUACAAAAAUAGUUCUAGUUGUUAAUAUCUAGAUACCUAGACAAUACCUAACUAGUCCCAAGCCCAAACAAAGAAGGAUGGUUCGAAGACGAGGUUAACACCCUCUAGAACUAGCAAUAGAGCCUCAGACAGUAUUCAAAAUUGCAAUGACGACACAGCAAAAUACAAUGAAAAAUGGAAAGAAUGGAAAAAGAAUGAGACUAUGGACAGGAAGACUAUGAAACGGUUGCAUGAAAGCUGGACGUCGUUGUUGCAAGAACAAUAAGCGCUCUGAAGAAAGCUGUGAAGUUAGGGAUUACAGGAUAAAUAUAAUUUACUUACAUUUGAAAUUGAAAUUUCAUCCUGUUUAUGUCAGGAGUACAAAGGAAUCUGUAAAAAAAGAGGAUAUCCUGUUUCCUUCGACGUUAGAUAAACAAUUACAAAAACAAAUAAAAAGAAACCAAAGUACA